CUUUAUCCAGCCUUUUCACCAGAAGUCAGCCCAAACAUAAAGAAAGUACCAACGUCGACAGGGAACCGCAGGCAACAGGAUAACACCUUUCCGCCAUUUUUCAGCUCGCCGUAAGCAGAGAGCUGAGGGAGCGGAAGGAGAGGUUUCCACAGAGCAGGACUGCAGGGCCUUCGAAACGAUGAGAUGACUUUAAGACAAAGGUUGUGAAAUUGUGCAAGUCAUGCCUUUUUUGGAAUUCAUAGCUGGCAG
rnacentral:lncRNA from 1 species